rnacentral:rRNA from 1 species
GAUGAACGCUGGCGGCGUGCCUAAUACAUGCAAGUCGAGCGAACAGACGAGGAGCUUGCUCCUCCGACGUUAGCGGCGGACGGGUGAGUAACACGUGGAUAACCUACCUAUCAGACUGGGAUAACUUCGGGAAACCGGAGCUAAUACCGGAUAAUAUAUUGAACCGCAUGGUUCAAUAGUGAAAGACGGCUUUGCUGUCACUUAUAGAUGGAUCCGCGCCGCAUUAGCUAGUUGGUAAGGUAACGGCUUACCAAGGCGACGAUGCGUAGCCGACCUGAGAGGGGGAUAGGCCACACUGGAACUGAGACACGGUCCAGAGGACUACGGGAGGCAGCAGUAGGGAAUCUUCCGCAGUGGGCGAAAGCCUGACGGAGCAACGCCGCGUGAGUGAUGAAGGUGUUCGGAUCGUAAAACUCGGUUAUUAGGGAAGAACAAAUGUGUAAGUAACUAUGCACGUCGUGACGGUACCUAAUCAGAAAGCCACGGCUAACUACGUG